rnacentral:rRNA from 1 species
AUUGAACGCUGGCGGCAUGCCUUACACAUGCAAGUCGAACGGUAAGGCCCUUCGGGGUACACGAGUGGCGAACGGGUGAGUAACACGUGGGUGAUCUGCCCUGCACUUCGGGAUAAGCCUGGGAAACUGGGUCUAAUACCGGAUAGGACCACUGCCUGCAUGGGUGGUGGUGGAAAGCUUUUGCGGUGUGGGAUGGGCCCGCGGCCUAUCAGCUUGUUGGUGGGGUGAUGGCCUACCAAGGCGACGACGGGUAGCCGGCCUGGGAGGGUGACCGAACACACUGGGACUGAGAUACGGCCCAGACUCCUACGGGAGGCAGCAGUGGGGAAUAUUGCACAAUGGGCGCAAGCCUGAUGCAGCGACGCCGCGUGAGGGAUGACGGCCUUCGGGUUGUAAACCUCUUUCAGCACCGACGAAGCGCAAGUGACGGUAGGUGCAGAAGAAGGACCGGCCGACUACGUGCCAGCCGCCGCCGUAA